rnacentral:rRNA from 1 species
UACGUAGGGUGCGAGCGUUGUCCGGAAUUAUUGGGCGUAAAGAGCUUGUAGGCGGUUUGUCGCGUCUGCUGUGAAAAUCCGGGGCUCAACCCCGGACUUGCAGUGGGUACGGGCAGACUGGAGUGUGGUAGGGGAGACUGGAAUUCCUGGUGUAACGGUGGAAUGCGCAGAUAUCAGGAGGAACACCGGUGGCGAAGGCGGGUCUCUGGGCCGAUACUGACGCUGAGGAGCGAAAGCGUGGGGAGCGAACAGG